rnacentral:misc_RNA from 1 species
UUAUAGUCAUUCGACAAUUGAUUCAGACAUUCUUCUUUUCAAUAAAAGGGUUUCAAUGGGUGCCGUCGGCGGGCUGACCCUCCCGCCCCGCAAGGGGUUGAAGGUGCCGCCGAAGCAAACAGUGGGGUUUUCACAAAGGGUGUACCGUUGGACGCGCGUAGGGAGACAAGCACCCCCGCGGCCUCGGGCUGGCCUUUCGGCCGGUGUAUUUGGUAAUGAUCCUUCCGCAGGUUCACCUACGGAAA